UACGUAGGCAGCGAGCGUUGUUCAGAUUUACUGGGCGUAAAGGGUGCGUAGGCGGUUUGUUAAGUUUGGUGUGAAAUCUCCCGGCUCAACUGGGAGGGUGCGCCGAAUACUGAAUGACUAGAGUGCGGGAGAGGAGAGUGGAAUUCCUGGUGUAGCGGUGAAAUGCGUAGAUAUCAGGAGGAACACCGGUGGUGUAGACGGCUCUCUGGACCGUAACUGACGCUGAGGCACGAAAGCGUGGGUAGCAAACAGG
rnacentral:rRNA from 1 species